UCCGGUUCGCCACCGGCAGUCCCGACAGAGUCCCCGACAGCCUUUCGGCCUCGCUGGCAACAGUCGGCAAGGGUUGCGCUCGUUGCGGGACUUAACCCAACAUCUCACGACACGAGCUGACGACAGCCAUGCAGCACCUGUGCUAGAGUCCCGAAGGAGGGCUCGGCUUUCACCGAGCUUUCUCUAGCAUGUCAAGCCUAGGUAAGGUUCUUCGCGUUGCUUCGAAUUAAACCACAUGCCCCACCGCUUGUGCAGGCCCCCGUCAAUUUCUUUGAGUUUUAACCUUGCGGCCGUACUCCCCAGGCGGAUAACUUAACGCGUUAGCUGCGCCACCAAAACUCCAAGAGCCCUGACAGCUAGUUAUCAUCGUUUACGGCGUGGACUAC
rnacentral:misc_RNA from 1 species